rnacentral:lncRNA from 1 species
ACAAAGCUUGAAUCAAUAUUUAUACAAACAGAGCAAGCAAACCUACCAAAGUUUUACUCUACACGCAUUAGGAAAAUAGCUGUAAUAAUGAAAAAGUGUUUUUUUCAAAAAUGAAAAAUACAAAUGUAGUCUUCAGGUUUACCGUUAUAAAUGCAUGUAUACUAUAUAUAUAAAUGAGGAUCUCAGUGUCAAGCUCACUCAGACAAGAAAACAUAUUUUUU